GCUACGGGGGGCAGCAGUGAGGAAUAUUGGUCAAUGGACGAGAGUCUGAACCAGCCAAGUAGCGUGAAGGAUGACUGCCCUAUGGGUUGUAAACUUCUUUUAUAUGGGAAUAAAAUGUUCCACGUGUGGGAUUUUGUAUGUACCAUAUGAAUAAGGAUCGGCUAACUCCGUGCCAGCAGCCGCGGUAAUACGGAGGAUCCGAGCGUUAUCCGGAUUUAUUGGGUUUAAAGGGAUAGUAGGUGGAUUGUUAAGUCAGUUGUGAAAGGUUGCGGCUCAACCGUAAAAUUGCAGUUGAAACUGGCAGUCUUGAGUACAGUAGAGGUAGGCGGAAUGCGUGGUGUAGCGGUGAAAUGCUUAGAUAUCACGAAGAACUCCGAUUGCGAAGGCAGCUUACUGGACUGCAACUGACACUGAGGCUCGAAAGUGUGGGUAUCAAACAGGAUUAGAUACCCCAGUAGUC
rnacentral:rRNA from 1 species